GAAUGAAAAUGAAUUUUAAUAAUAAAAAAAAAAAAAAAGAAAAAAAAAAGAAUUUAUAUACAAUUAACAGUUUAACAUAUUCUCUUAAGAAAAUAUAGAAAUAUUUUAGAACGUCCGCGAAUCAUGUUCAUUCAGGACGAGUUCCUUUUGAAGACACACAACAACUCGUUAUUGUUAUGUAUGUCAAAUUCUUUAGGUACCUAGAAACGACCUUCUAGUUCCGAGUUCACUCCAAACUCAUAUAUCUAGGCCGUCUCAUGUAGUAACAAUAUGUAAACUUUCAUAAGAUACUCUAGUAUAGUAUAAUAAUCUCUUGCGAUUAUUAUCGAUCGUAUAAUUCUACUAAAGAUUAAUUAGAUAAAAAGUUCAAUUAUAAUGAUAUAAUGCAUUAGAAUGUCGAUUUGAAGAAAAGCGAAGAGCGUAGUAAUAGAAGUAGAAAUUUUGUUUUUCGCGCGUCGUACGACAGUCGCACGACGUCGAGAUAUCGAUCGUCGUCGGCUAGAAGCGUCCUAUGUUUCGGAGCAGUCGCACGCAGUCACAAGGUACCUGUCACAAUUGGAUAAUCUCUUAACGAAGAAGGUCGAAGUAUAGAAAUAAAAAGAGAAAGAUCAAGGGGAAAAGCUUCAUCAGAGCUUUCUGCAUACGAAAAACUAUUGUUAAGUGAGAACAUUUUGUAGAAAUUAAUUGAAUUCUUCUUAAAUUGCAACUCUGCAACUCCAUUCGAUCGCUCGGAAAAAGACCGAAUACAAAGAUGUGCGGUGGUUUUACGUGCUCGAAAAAUGCGCUGACAGCACUAAAUAUACUCUAUAUUGUCGUUGCAUUUAUUUUGAUUGGCGUCGCAGUUUAUGGAAGAGCAUCAGCUUUAGUUACUAAUCUUCCUAUAAUUGGUGGAAUUUUAGCGUGCGGAGUGAUACUUAUUCUCAUCUCCAUUCUCGGGCUAAUCGGUGCUGUAAAACAUCAUCAAGUUUUAUUGUUCUUUUACAUGCUUAUUUUGUUCCUUCUAUUUUUGAUUCAAUUCAGCAUUGCUUGCGCUUGUCUUGCAGUUAAUGCUAAACAACAAGAACAACUUGCAGAACAAGGAUGGAGACGAGUUGGAGAUGAUUUAAGAGCUAAAGUAGAAGAAACCUUCCAUUGCUGUGGAUUUAAUGACACUGUUAUUGAAAAAGAUCCCUUGGCAUGCCAUGAUAAAAAUAGAACUUGCUGUCCUUUCUCUGACCGUGAAUGCACUGACCGAUGUCCACUAUGUAUGCAAAAAUUGCAAUCUACAAUUGAUUAUGCCUUCAAACUUUGUGGUAGUAUAGGAUUAUUUUUCAGUUUUACAGAGUUUGUUGGUGUUUGGUUGACCGUGCGGUACAGGAACCAGAAAGAUCCGCGAGCUAAUCCUAGUGCUUUUCUCUAGUCUAACACCAUCGCCAUGUCCUCUAUCUCCUCAUACGACCCUCCUAAUAGAUGGUGAUCGCAGCUUUUGUAGCAAAGCAUUACAAAAAUCAGCUAGAUCCGCAGCAGAAAGCUGCAAGAGCUGCAUUUCCCCAACUAAAUUAUCUUUAUUAAUAUGAUUCACUUUUAUUUUCUUCGUAGAAAAGUGAUACUAGAUCCACGAAUAUUGGAUCUUGCUUUAUAUCCGUAAUCAAUAGAAAAUACAUGAUUAUCAUCUAAGAGCCAGAGAACAAAUUUUUAUGUAUUUGUUUAAAGAUGAGAUAAAAGAUUACCGUUUCUGAUUUAUAAUGCUCGAAAGAAUUCUACAAUAUUAUAAUAUGAGAAUGAACAAUUUUACAAAAUUAUUACGUCUAUAAAAUAUAUAUGUUGUAAUAAUUUACACAAAAUGCUCAAUACAAGCUUUAACACAUUGUGUGGCUUAAUGUUGGAUAUACUUGAUUAUAGAUACAUUUUCAUAAGCACCUUUUUGAUGAGACUACUGUGCAUUCCAUUUUUGUUCUAGUAUCAUAUUUCAUAUCUAUU